GGUCAAGCGAAUAAGCGCACACGGUGGAUGCCUAGGCGGUCAGAGGCGAUGAAGGACGUGGUAGCCUGCGAAAAGUGUCGGGGAGCUGGCAACAAGCUUUGAUCCGGCAAUGUCCGAAUGGGGAAACCCACUGCUUCGGCAGUAUCCUGCAGUGAAUUCAUAGCUGCUGGAAGCGAACCCGGUGAACUGAAAUAUCUAAGUAACCGGAGGAAAAGAAAUCAACCGAGAUUCCCUAAGUAGUGACGAGCGAACGGGGAACAGCCCUUAAGCUGGAAUGGCUUUAGAAAAACAAUCUGGAAAGAUUGGCCAUAGAAGGUGAUAGCCCUGUAUUUAAAAGGGCCACUCCAGUGAAGACGAGUAGGGCGGGGCACGUGAAACCCUGUCUGAAUAUGGGGGGACCAUCCUCCAAGGCUAAAUACUCCUGACCGACCGAUAGUGAACCAGUACCGUGAGGGAAAGGCGAAAAGAACCCCGGAGAGGGGAGUGAAAUAGAUCCUGAAACCGUGUGCGUACAAGCAGUAGGAGCUCGCAAGAGUGACUGCGUACCUUUUGUAUAAUGGGUCAGCGACUUACUGUUCGUGGCAAGCUUAACCGUAUAGGGGAGGCGAAGGGAAACCGAGUCUGAUAAGGGCGCAUAGUCGCGGGCAGUAGACCCGAAACCGGGUGAUCUAGUCAUGGCCAGGGUGAAGGUGCCGUAACAGGUACUGGAGGCCCGAACCCACGUCUGUUGCAAAAGACGGGGAUGAGCUGUGAUUAGGAGUGAAAAGCUAAUCGAACCCGGAGAUAGCUGGUUCUCCUCGAAAGCUAUUUAGGUAGCGCCUCGGACGAAUACUACUGGGGGUAGAGCACUGUUAUGGCUAGGGGGUCAUCGCGACUUACCAAACCAUUGCAAACUCCGAAUACCAGUACGUACUAUCCGGGAGACACACGGCGGGUGCUAACGUCCGUCGUGAAAAGGGAAACAACCCAGACCCACAGCUAAGGUCCCAAAUUCACUGCUAAGUGGAAAACGAUGUGGAAAGGCAUAGACAGCCAGGAGGUUGGCUUAGAAGCAGCCACCCUUUAAAGAAAGCGUAAUAGCUCACUGGUCGAGUCGGUCUGCGCGGAAGAUUUAACGGGGCUAAGCAGUGAACCGAAGCUUGGGGUGCAUAAAACUUGUUUUAUGCGCGGUAGAGGAGCGUUCCGUAAGCCUGCGAAGGUGGAUUGAGAAGUCUGCUGGAGGUAUCGGAAGUGCGAAUGCUGACAUGAGUAACGAUAAUGCGGGUGAAAAGCCCGCACGCCGAAAGCCCAAGGUUUCCUUGCGCAACGUUAAUCGACGCAGGGUUAGUCGGUCCCUAAGGCGAGGGCGAAAGCCGUAGUCGAUGGGAAGCAGGUUAAUAUUCCUGCACCUCGCGUGAGUGCGAUGGAGGGACGGAGAAGGUUAGGUGUACCGGGCGUUGGUUGUCCCGGGGAAAGGCGGUAGGUUUGGAUCUUUGGCAAAUCCGGGAUCCUUUAAGACCGAGCACCGAGACGAGCCUUUAUGGCGAAGUCACUGAUACCACGCUUCCAGGAAAAGCUCCUAAGCUUCAGCUCACGAAGACCGUACCGUAAACCGACACAGGUGGGUAGGAUGAGAAUUCUCAGGCGCUUGAGAGAACUCGGGUGAAGGAACUAGGCAACAUGGCACCGUAACUUCGGGAGAAGGUGCACCCUUUUUGGUGGCUCGUGCGAGCUAUAGCUGAAGAGGGUCGCAGAAACCAGGCCGCUGCGACUGUUUAUCAAAAACACAGCACUCUGCAAACACGAAAGUGGACGUAUAGGGUGUGACGCCUGCCCGGUGCUGGAAGGUUAAUUGAUGGGGUCAGCCGCAAGGCGAAGCUCUUGAUCGAAGCCCCAGUAAACGGCGGCCGUAACUAUAACGGUCCUAAGGUAGCGAAAUUCCUUGUCGGGUAAGUUCCGACCUGCACGAAUGGCGUAACGACAGCGGCGCUGUCUCCACCCGAGACUCAGUGAAAUUGAAAUCGCUGUGAAGAUGCAGCGUUCCCGUGGCAAGACGGAAAGACCCCGUGAACCUUUACUAUAGCUUUACACUGAACGUUGAGUUCGUCUGUGUAGGAUAGGUGGGAGGCUAUGAAACUGUGGCGCUAGCUGCAGUGGAGCCAUCCUUGAAAUACCACCCUGUCGUGCUUGACGUUCUAACCUAGAUCCGUUAUCCGGAUCAGGGACCGUGUAUGGUGGGUAGUUUGACUGGGGCGGUCUCCUCCUAAAGAGUAACGGAGGAGCACGAAGGUACGCUCAGCGCGGUCGGACAUCGCGCACUGUGUGCAAAGGCAUAAGCGUGCUUGACUGCAAGAUCGACGGAUCAAGCAGGUACGAAAGUAGGUCUUAGUGAUCCGGUGGUUCUGUAUGGAAGGGCCAUCGCUCAACGGAUAAAAGGUACUCCGGGGAUAACAGGCUGAUACCGCCCAAGAGUUCAUAUCGACGGCGGUGUUUGGCACCUCGAUGUCGGCUCAUCACAUCCUGGGGCUGUAGUCGGUCCCAAGGGUAUGGCUGUUCGCCAUUUAAAGUGGUACGCGAGCUGGGUUCAGAACGUCGUGAGACAGUUCGGUCCCUAUCUGCCAUGGGCGUUGGAAGUUUGAGAGGGGCUGCUCCUAGUACGAGAGGACCGGAGUGGACGAACCUCUGGUGUUCCGGUUGUCACGCCAGUGGCAUUGCCGGGUAGCUAUGUUCGGAAGCGAUAACCGCUGAAAGCAUCUAAGCGGGAAGCGCGCCUCAAGAUGAGACUUCCCGGGGCACAAGCCCCCUAAAGGAACCAUGUAGACUACGUGGUUGAUAGGUCAGGUGUGUAAGUACAGCAAUGUAUUGAGCUAACUGAUACUAAUGAUCCGUGCGGCUUGACCAU
rnacentral:rRNA from 1 species